UAGGGAAUAUUAGAAAUUGACGAAAGUCUGAUCUAGCAACACCGCGUUUGCGAAGAAGGCCUUCGGGUCGUAAAGCACUUUUUGGAAGGAAUAGGAAGGAAUGUACUUCCAGAAUAAGUCUCGGCUAACUACGUGCCAGCAGCCGCGGUAACACGUAUGAGGCAAACGUUAUCCGGAUUUACUGUGCGUAAAGCGCGUGUAGGUGGUACUGUAAGUAGG
rnacentral:rRNA from 1 species